rnacentral:rRNA from 1 species
UACAGAGGGUGCGAGCGUUAAUCGGAAUUACUGGGCGUAAAGCGCGCGUAGGCGGCUUUGCAAGUCGGGUGUGAAAUCCCCAGGCUUAACCUGGGAACUGCAUUCGAGACUGCAUUGCUAGAGUAUGGGAGAGGGAAGUGGAAUUUCCGGUGUAGCGGUGAAAUGCGUAGAUAUCGGAAGGAACAUCAGUGGCGAAAGCGACUUCCUGGACCAAUACUGACGCUCAUGUGCGAAAGCUAGGGGAGCAAACAGG